AGAGUUUGAUUAUGGCUCAGGAUGAACGCUAGCUACAGGCUUAACACAUGCAAGUCGAGGGGCAGCAUUGGAGUAGCAAUACUUCAGAUGGCGACCGGCGCACGGGUGAGUAACACGUAUCCAACCUGCCGCUUACUCGGGGAUAGCCUUUCGAAAGAAAGAUUAAUACCCGAUGGUAUAAAGAGUUCGCAUGUUCUCUUUAUUAAAGAAUUUCGGUAAGCGAUGGGGAUGCGUUCCAUUAGAUAGUUGGCGGGGUAACGGCCCACCAAGUCUACGAUGGAUAGGGGUUCUGAGAGGAAGGUCCCCCACAUUGGAACUGAGACACGGUCCAAACUCCUACGGGAGGCAGCAGUGAGGAAUAUUGGUCAAUGGACGAGAGUCUGAACCAGCCAAAGUAACGUGAAGGAUGACUGCCCUAUGGGUUGUAAACUUCUUUUAUAAGGGAAUAAAGUGAGGGACGUGUCCCUUUUUGUAUGUACCUUAUGAAUAAGGAUCGGCUAACUCCGUGCCAGCCGCCGC
rnacentral:rRNA from 1 species